rnacentral:tRNA from 1 species
GGGGCCGUGGUCUAGCGGCUAUGACGCCGCCCUUACGAGGCGGAGGUCGCCGGUUCGAGUCCGGCCGGCCCCA